UACGUAGGUGGCAAGCGUUGUCCGGAUUUACUGGGCGUAAAGAGCGCGCAGGCGGUCGUUCAAGUCGCGUGUGAAAGCCCCCGGCUCAACUGGGGAGGGUCACGCGAUACUGGUCGACUCGAAGGCAGGAGAGGGUAGUGGAAUUCCCGGUGUAGUGGUGAAAUGCGUAGAUAUCUGGAGGAACACCGGUGGCGAAGGCGGCAUCCUGGACCGGUAUUGACGCUGAGGCGCGAAAGCCAGGGGAGCAACGGG
rnacentral:rRNA from 1 species